rnacentral:lncRNA from 1 species
CGGACUAGUCUUGCCACGUUCGAACGGGACGAGACGGUGAUGGGCCGGCCCACCGUGAGCCGCCCUCCACGUGGCCUCACGAUCCGGGUCGGUCGGCUCACGUUUUUCUUCUUUUUUUUUCUGGACUCCGUUCCCGUGCAACCCAGAAUUCUAAAGUCUCGACAAGGACGAGGGGACGACAAUUCAAAGUCUCGGACUUUCUGUUUUAAUUUGCGACAUCAAAUUAAGUCUUGGACUCUUGAUCACACAUGAUGCGGGGGAGGGGGGCGCUGCGGGACACAUUUCGUCGCCUGCACGUGAGCGACCUGAGCCAGAUUGCCGGCCACGAGCCCACGAAACAAAGCAAAUGGGGCCGGUCAUCUACGAGGGAUUUGUGGUCACGUCCGUGGGUGUUGCACAACCGCGUUAUCAUUCUCCGGGCCCCGCGUUUUAAAAACAAAAAAAAUGUUUUGAGAAAAAACAGAAAACAAAAUUGAGCUUGACACGUUGCCACGUUGCCCGUCAAAUGGACUGGAUCUGCUUUACUUUUUUCUACAGCAAGAAUCACUCGUAGUAGUAAAAUCGCCGAUUACAAUACUGGAGUAGCGCUACACCAACUGGAAGGUACAGUCGUACGUCAAAGAGAACAAGAAGCUGGAUCCAUCGAAGGAGGAUUUAAUGAAGCCCCCCCUCCCGGCCGGCCCGGACAAUCAGAGAAGGCUGUCUCCUCCUACCCAUGUAAACCUCGUUCUGUCCUCUGCUCUG